CGGGGGGGGUAAGCGUUGUUCGGAAUUACUGGGCGUAAAGGGCUCGUAGGCGGCCAACUAAGUCAGACGUGAAAUCCCUCAGCUUAACUGGGGAACUGCGUCUGAUACUGGAUGGCUUGGAUUCGGGAGAGGAAUGCGGAAUUCCAGGUGUAGCGGUGAAAUGCGUAGAUAUCUGGAGGAACACCGGUGGCGAAGGCGGCAUUCUGGACCGAUAUUGACGCUGAGGAGCGAAAGCCAGGGGAGCAAACGGGAUUAGAUACCCCGGUAGUCCUGGCCCUAAACGAUGAAUGCUUGGUGUGGCGGGUAUCGAUCCCUGCCGUGCCGAAGCUAACGCAUUAAGCAUUCCGCCUGGGGAGUACGGUCGCAAGGCUG
rnacentral:rRNA from 1 species